rnacentral:rRNA from 1 species
AUACGGAGGAUCCGAGCGUUAUCCGGAUUUAUUGGGUUUAAAGGGUGCGCAGGCGGCCAUUUAGGUCAGCGGUUAAAUCGUGGGGCUCAACCCCAUUCUGCCGUUGAUACUGGGUGGCUUGAUUGCGGUCGAGGUUGGCGGAAUUCGUUGUGUAGCGGUGAAAUGCAUAGAUAUGACGAAGAACACCGAUUGCGUAGGCAGCUGACCAGACCGCAAAUGACGCUCAUGCACGAAAGUGCGGGGAUCGAACAGGAUUAGAUACCCUGGUAGUCCGCACAGUAAACGAUGAAUACUUGUUUUCGGCGAUAUAAUGUCGGAGGCAAAGCGAAAGCGAUAAGUAUUCCACCUGGGGAGUACGCCGGCAACGGUGAAACUCAAAGGAAUGGGCGGGG